UCAGGUUAUAAUGAGAACCUCACCUAUAAUAUAAACUAGGAACUCAUUGCAACCGUUAGAUUAAAACAAAGAAUGAGAACCUCACCUAUAAUAGGAACUAGGAACUCAUUGCAACCGUCAGAUUAAAACAAAGUGAAUGGCUGCGAUUGUGUCAUGAUUAAAUCAGAAAAUUAGCCAAAAAAAUAAAAAAAAAACUUGUGUUUCUCUCUCCUCUUUCUCGCUGACAACAUUUUCUCUCUCUAGCGUUUUUCAAGCUUUCUCACCUCAAUCAUCAGCUCAAAAGUCAUGAAUUUUGCUACAAUUUAAACAAUUCUUCAAUAAUUUGCUGAACUAAUUGCACAAUUUCUCAACUAUAGAGGGAAUUUCGAGCUUUUUCGAGCUUUUGAUACUCCAUUGAAGCAGCUUCUGAGGCUUGGAAGUAUCUCUGGGCUUAUCCUAUGUAAGAAAGAUGUGGGUACUUAAGAUACAAUCCGGAGAGCUAUGGGCAUAAUUGGUGAGCAUGAGAAAGCUAUUAUUCAACCUGAUCGCAUGUUGUAUGCUCAUAUAGCUUCUAUACAGUGAUGGGAACCUUCUGAAAUUAGGGUGUUCAAGUUGAAUACCGAUGCAUCCUGCUUUGAGGAUAUUUUAUUUGGUUUGGGGUCAUUAUUCGUGACACUACAGGAGAUGUUCUGCUGGCUACUUGUUGCAGAUUGCAGGAAAAUUUUGCAAUUGAUGUUAGUGAGGCGCUAGCUGCUAGGAAUGCUUUCAAAUCGCAAUUGAAGCAGGUCUCAAUAGAAUUAGAUUGGAGACAGACAAUGCUAAACUGUACCAUCAUCUCAAGAGCAACAAACGAGAGAAAUAAGGUUGCUCACAUAUUAACACAUUUGAGUAAAUGUUAUAAUGAAAUGAGAGUGUGGAUCGUAGAGGUGCCCGAUGAUUUAUCAGAUGUAGUGGUUCUUGACAUUUCAAGUCUUCCUUGAUAAAUUUACUUGUUUGCUUUGUGUCCAAAAAAAAA